GUGAAGGAUUUGGGAGGAUUUUUGUUUGUUUUACACUAAGUUUAUUUGAAAAAUAUGAAGUAGGAGUGUGUGUUUUGGAGGUUAGAGGCUAGUUACGGCUUAAACUUUGAUUUGGAGGGAAUUUUGAAAUACAAGGGCAAUUUAGAAAUUUCACUAUGACACGUGGUAGAUGGUAGUUUAGAGUUAGUUAUAGGUUUGUU
rnacentral:lncRNA from 1 species